GAAGGUUUUUCGGAAAUGAGGAACAAGGAAACACUCAAAAAACAAUUCUUUGCUUCAUAGUGGUUCUAGCAUGGUUCCUCUAAUAAAAAUAUCUUCAUCUAUUAUCAACAAGUGGUUUUGUAUUAAAAAUCUCACUGACCUUGGUUAUCUUAUUGUAACAUCAAUUUGCGAUGGACAUGCGACAAAAAAAAAGUUCGUAGAAGAGCUUGGAUACAAUAAGGAAACUAGCUUUUUUAUUAACAAACUUGCCAAAAAAUACUCCCUUUUAUAAAAUAUUUUAUAUUUUUGACACAAUUCACUUAUUCAAGUCAAUUUACACUAAUUUUCUUAAUAGAAAUGAAUUAAAAUGCCCAGAUUUUGAUGGAAAAAUAGUUCGUGCUAGUUUGUAUCAUGUAAUUAAAUUAUACAAGUCAGAAAUGUCAUCUUCAUUUCGUUAUGCUCAUCAACUCAAUCAUAAAGUCAUCAUUCCAAAAACAAUCGAAAGAUUUAACGUGAAUUCAACCGUCAAGUUUUUUAGAGAACCAACAGAAGCUGUAUUCCACUAUUACUCUGGAGAAGAAGAAAAAAGCAACUAGAUUUAUACUGCAAAUUUUAUUAGCAUAAUACAUUCCUUCUUCAAUACAAAUCUUACUAUGCAUCACAAAAUACACGUGAUAAUUCUAGAACAGCCGUAUAUAGAAAUGACCUAAGUCAAUUACAAUUUGUGCUAAGUUUUUUGGAUUAUCAGAUCACUGAAUGGAAUCAAUAUGAAAAAAAUGGUAGCUCACUAAGAUGACUGAAACCGCAUUAGUUCACACCGUAAUAUGACUAACCUUUGCUAUUUUUUAUUUGAUGUUAGUGACCUGGAUUAUAUAUUACUCUGUAAGAUAAACUCUCAUCAUGAGGAAAGAAGGUUUGGAUUGUACAAACAGAUAAAUUGUGCUAAAUUUUAUGUUUCCAUUCGUCAAUUCUUCGAGUCGAAAAAAAAAAAUCCGGUUAAAAUCUCUCAUAAGAUUUAACAAUAUUGAAGUAAAAGAAAUAUACCAAUGGAAGACAAGGUGAAGGAUAUAAACAAUGGUAAUCAAAGGAUUGAAAAGUAACGUGACUCCUAAAGUCGUGCCUCUCUUCGUAGGUAAAUUUAAAGAUUUCUCAAAUUUUUAGUGCAGGGAAUAUUUAUCCCUCACUUUUAUUGAGGAACAAGUGCUUCAAUAGGGUACGUGCGUUGUUUACUUAUAUUCGUUUGUAAACAAAUCACCCUUGAGUAGCGCCACAUAGUGGAAAAAUAAUAAAACUCUUUGUAUAAUGAUUUAUUAUGACUAUUCGGCCAAAGAAUACUAGUUACUAGCUAGAGAAAGACUUUAAACAAAUUUUAAUCUCCUGUUGACAAAAGUCCUUUAAUUUUAUUACUUGAGACUUUAUCAAAGUGGUUUUAUAAAGUGAUAAUUAAAUAAAAAGUAUUCAUGACUUAAAGUGGGUUUUCCAAUGAUGAGUUGGACAACCCGAGAAGUUAAUUUCAAGAAUCUACUCUUUCCAAGAAAUAAGAUCCGUAUGAAGUCCUCCUUAGUUCUCGCUAGUAAUACUUGAAUUAUAAUUUGGAUUUAAAUCCAUUACAACUAAUACAUCUAUUACUCAAUGUUACCCAUUACAAGGUUAAGCAACAAGAAAAAUGUUUUUUUUUUCUUCGGAAAGAGUUUCUAGAUGAGUAUGGACUGCCUCUCCUCAUUUCGAUGCUAAUAUCAAAUAAAUUCAAUCCUCGGAAUCUGUUUCUUUAGUAAGCAAGGACUGACUCACCAUGAUAACGAAGAGAUAUCAUCCUUUUGGAUCUGGAUAUUUCCAGAUAAUAUAGCCCAUUCAUGAAUUCCUCAUUCUCAUCAUGUUGAGGAAAGGGACCAUAAAUAAAUACACUUUUUGCUUCAGAUUCGAAAUACAUUUUUUUAUUAGAACAAA
rnacentral:lncRNA from 1 species